rnacentral:tRNA from 1 species
GGGCCCUUAGCUCAGCGGCAGAGCAGUGGACUCAUAAUCCAUUGGUCGCUGGUUCGAACCCAGCAGGGCCCACCA